UCACUGAAUCUAAUCAAGGGCAAAUGCUGAAGAAGCAUGUGAUUCAAGGAAAGCAGCAUCAAAAUGGAGCAGCUAGCUGCUGGCAUUGGUGAGGACAUGCAUGAAAGGUAGCAAUGAUGCAGGAUGUCAGGAUGAGAUGACAGAACAGUCGAAAAGAUGCCAGUCAAACCCAAAGACAAUGCCAGCAGCAAAGCCUCAUGAACAACCCUACAAUAACCAACUAUUGUGAACAGCCUGUCAACACUGCAAAGCAACCCUAGAACAAAGCCACACGAGAAGGCCAUCUCUAGGGACCAGGCUGCCAGGAGUUAACUCAAGGAACCAGAAACUUCAAAGGAAGAGGAAAGAAACCGAACAACUACAAAGUCACUUACACAGAGAGGAAGUUUCAAG